GACGAACGCUGGCGGCGUGCUUAACACAUGCAAGUCGAACGGUAAGGCCCUUCGGGGUACACGAGUGGCGAACGGGUGAGUAACACGUGGGUGAUCUGCCCUGCACUUCGGGAUAAGCCUGGGAAACUGGGUCUAAUACCGGAUAGGACCACUGCCUGCAUGGGUGGUGGUGGAAAGCUUUUGCGGUGUGGGAUGGGCCCGCGGCCUAUCAGCUUGUUGGUGGGGUGAUGGCCUACCAAGGCGACGACGGGUAGCCGGCCUGAGCGGGUGACCGGCCACAGUGGGACUGAGAUACGGCCCAGACUGCUACGGGGGGGAGCGGUGGGGAAUAUUGCACAAUGGGCGCAAGCCUGAUGCGGCGACGCCGCGUGAGGGAUGACGGCCUUCGGGUUGUAAACCUCUUUCAGCUCCGACGAAGCGCAAGUGACGGUAGGUGCAGAAGAAGGACCGGCCAACUACGUGCCAGCAGCCGCGGUAA
rnacentral:rRNA from 1 species